AGAGUUUGAUCCUGGCUCAGGACGAACGCUGACGGUGUGCUUUAGACAUGCAAGUCGAACGAGAAAGCCCUUCGGGGUUAGUACAGUGGCGAACGGGUGAGUAACACGUGGGCAAUCUGCCCCUCGCAGGGGGAUAACCGGGGGAAACCCCGGCUAAUACCCCGUACGCUUACGGAGCCGCAUGGCUCCGCAAGGAAAGGUAGCUUCGGCCAUCCGGCGAGGGAUGAGCCCGCGGUACAUUAGCUAGUUGGUGGGGUAACGGCCCACCAAGGCGACGAUGUAUAGCUGGUCUGAGAGGAUGAUCAGCCACACUGGGACUGAGACACGGCCCAGACUCCUACGGGAGGCAGCAGUCGGGAAUCUUGCGCAAUGGGCGAAAGCCUGACGCAGCAACACCGUGUGAGCGACGAAGGCCUUCGGGUCGUAAAGCUCUGUUGUUGGGGACGAAGGGUUAGGGGUUAAUAGCCCCGAGCCUGACGGUACCCUUCGAGGAAGCCCCGGCUAACUACGUGCCAGCAGCCGCGGUAAUACGUAGGGGGCGAGCGUUGUCCGGAAUUAUUGGGCGUAAAGAGCGUGUAGGCGGUUCGGUAAGUCUGCCGUGAAAACCCAGGGCUCAACCCUGGGCGUGCGGUGGAUACUGCCGGGCUAGAGGGUGGUAGAGGCGAGUGGAAUUCCCGGUGUAGCGGUGAAAUGCGCAGAUAUCGGGAGGAACACCAGUAGCGAAGGCGGCUCGCUGGGCCAUACCUGACGCUGAGNNNCGAAAGCGUGGGGACAAACAGGAUUAGAUACCCUAGUAGUCC
rnacentral:rRNA from 1 species